rnacentral:rRNA from 1 species
UAUCAAUAAGCGGAGGAAAAGAAACCAACAGGGAUUGCCCUAGUAACGGCGAGUGAAGCGGCAACAGCUCAAAUUUGAAAUCUGGCUCUCGGGCCCGAGUUGUAAUUUGUAGAGGAUGUUUCUGGCGACGUGUCUUCCGAGUUCCCUGGAACGGGACGCCAUAGAGGGUGAGAGCCCCGUCCGGUCGUACGCCUAGCCUCUGUGAAACUCCUUCGACGAGUCGAGUAGUUUGGGAAUGCUGCUCAAAAUGGGAGGUAUACGUCUUCUAAAGCUAAAUACCGGCCAGAGACCGAUAGCGCACAAGUAGAGUGAUCGAAAGAUGAAAAGCACUUUGAAAAGAGGGUUAAAUAGUACGUGAAAUUGCUGAAAGGGAAGCGCUCAUGACCAGACUUGGGCUCGGUGAAUCAUCCGGCGUUCUCGCCGGUGCACUUUGCCGGCCCAGGCCAGCAUCAGCUCGCCUCGGGGGAUAAAGGCUUCGGGAAUGUAGCUCCCUCGUGGAGUGUUAUAGACCGUUGCGUAAUACCCUGGGGCGGGCUGAGGUACGCGUUCUGCAAGGAUGCUGGCGUAAUGGUCAUCAGUGACCCGUCUUGA